rnacentral:rRNA from 1 species
UAAAAAUAAAGUUUAAUUUUGGCUUAAAAAUUUUCUUUGUUUUUUAUUUUACAUGUAAAUUUUUGUUUGAUUAGUUUUUAAUUUAAAUAAUUAAAAAUUUUUUUUAUAAUCGCAGUAUAAAAUAUUAAAUAUUAAAAAAAUUUAGAUUUAAAAAUAAAGUUAAAAAUUGACAAAAUUUGUGCCAGCAGUUGCGGUUACACAAAUAAUUUAAGAAAAUUUUUUUGGGAUAUAGUUAAAAGAAUAUAUAGUUGAUUUUAAUUAAAUUUUUUAAGUGAAAUUUAAAAUUUAUAUAAUUUUUAGAAUUAUUUUUUGAAACUAAUAAAUUUAAAUUAAAAACUAGGAUUAGAUACCCUAUUAUUUUAAACUUAAAUAAAAAAUUCCUAAUUAUUAAAAGUUAUGGUCUCUAAAAUUAAAAAAUUUGGCGGUAUUUUAGUCUUUUCAGAGGAACCUGUUCUAUAAUUGAUAGUCCACGAUUUAUUAUACUUACUUUAUAAAUUUAUAUAUCGUCGUAGUUUGAAUCUUUUUAAAGAAUAAUAAUAUUCAAAAUUUUCUAUAAAAAUAAAAAUCAGAUCAAGGUGUAGUGAAUAGGUAAGAAGAAAUGGGUUACAAUAAAUUAAUUUUUAGAUAAAUUUAUGAAAUUAAAUUUAGAAAUUGGAUUUGAAAGUAAUUUAAAAAAAAUUUUUUAAAUGAUUUAAGCUCUAAAAUAUGUACAUAUUGCCCGUCGCUUUUGUUUUAAGAUGAAAUAAGUCGUAACAAAGUAGAUUUACUGGAAAGUGAAUCUAGAAA